rnacentral:rRNA from 1 species
AAGUCGAGCGAAAGACGAGGAGCUUGCUCCUCUGACGUUAGCGGCGGACGGGUGAGUAACACGUGGAUAACCUACCUAUAAGACUGGGAUAACUUCGGGAAACCGGAGCUAAUACCGGAUAAUAUAUUGAACCGCAUGGUUCAAUAGUGAAAGACGGUUUUGCUGUCACUUAUAGAUGGAUCCGCGCCGCAUUAGCUAGUUGGUAAGGUAACGGCUUACCAAGGCAACGAUGCGUAGCCGACCUGAGAGGGUGAUCGGCCACACUGGAACUGAGACACGGUCCAGACUCCUACGGGAGGCAGCAGUAGGGAAUCUUCCGCAAUGGGCGAAAGCCUGACGGAGCAACGCCGCGUGAGUGAUGAAGGUCUUCGGAUCGUAAAACUCUGUUAUUAGGGAAGAACAAAUGUGUAAGUAACUAUGCACGUCUUGACGGUACCUAAUCAGAAAGCCACGGCUAACUACGUGCCAGCAGCCGCGGUAAUACGUAGGUGGCAAGCGUUAUCCGGAAUUAUUGGGCGUAAAGCGCGCGUAGGCGGUUUUUUAAGUCUGAUGUGAAAGCCCACGGCUCAACCGUGGAGGGUCAUUGGAAACUGGAAAACUUGAGUGCAGAAGAGGAAAGUGGAAUUCCAUGUGUAGCGGUGAAAUGCGCAGAGAUAUGGAGGAACACCAGUGGCGAAGGCGACUUUCUGGUCUGUAACUGACGCUGAUGUGCGAAAGCGUGGGGAUCAAACAGGAUUAGAUACCCUGGUAGUCCACGCCCGUAAACCAUGAGUGCUA